rnacentral:rRNA from 1 species
ACAUGCCUACAACAUAGCACUAAUGCAUUGGAUCCCAUUAGAACUCUGCAGUUAAUCGUUCUCGGGCUAGAGUAGUACUGGUAUGGGUGACCACCUGGGAAGUCCUAGUGUUUUACAUGCC